GAUGAACGCUGGCGGCGUGCCUAAUACAUGCAAGUCGAGCGAACAGACGAGGAGCUUGCUCCUCUGACGUUAGCGGCGGACGGGUGAGUAACACGUGGAUAACCUACCUAUAAGACUGGGAUAACUUCGGGAAACCGGAGCUAAUACCGGAUAAUAUAUUGAACCGCAUGGUUCAAUAGUGAAAGACGGUUUUGCUGUCACUUAUAGAUGGAUCCGCGCCGCAUUAGCUAGUUGGUAAGGUAACGGCUUACCAAGGCAACGAUGCGUAGCCGACCUGAGAGGGUGAUCGGCCACACUGGAACUGAGACACGGUCCAGACUCCUACGGGAGGAAGCAGUAGGGAAUCUUCCGCAAUGGGCGAAAGCCUGACGGAGCAACGCCGCGUGAGUGAUGAAGGUCUUCGGAUCGUAAAACUCUGUUAUUAGGGAAGAACAAAUGUGUAAGUAACUAUGCACGUCUUGACGGUACCUAACCAGAAAGCCACGGCUAACUACGUG
rnacentral:rRNA from 1 species